AACGUACGCUGGCGGCACGCCUAACACAUGCAAGUCGAACGAAGUAGCAAUACUUAGUGGCAGACGGGUGAGUAACAUGUAGGUAUCUGCCCUUUGGCCUGGAAUAACACGAGGAAACUUGUGCUAAUACCGGAUAAGUCUUUACGGAGAAAGCUUUAUGCACCAUUGGAUGAGCCUGCACUUGAUUAGUUUGUUGGUGGGGUAAUGGCCUACCAAGACUGUGAUCAAUAGCUGAUUUGAGAGGAUGAUCAGCCACAUUGGGACUGAGACGCGGCCCAAACUCCUACGGGAGGCAGCAGUGGGGAAUCUUGCACAAUGGAGGAAACUCUGAUGCAGCGAUGCCGCGUGAGUGAAGAAGGCCCUUGGGUUGUAAAGCUCUUUCGUCGGGGAAGAAAAUGACUGUACCCGAAUAAGAAGGUCCGGCUAACUUCGUGCCAGCAGCCGCGGUAAUACGAAGGGACCUAGCGUAGUUCGGAAUUACUGGGCUUAAAGAGUUCGUAGGUGGUUGAAAAAGUUAGUGGUGAAAUCCCAGAGCUUAACUCUGGAACUGCCAUUAAAACUUUUCAGCUAGAGUAUGAUAGAGGAAAGCAGAAUUUCUAGUGUAGAGGUGAAAUUCGUAGAUAUUAGAAAGAAUACCAAUUGCGAAGGCAGCUUUCUGGAUCAUUACUGACACUGAGGAACGAAAGCAUGGGUAGCGAAGAGGAUUAGAUACCCUCGUAGUCCAUGCCGUAAACGAUGUGUGUUAGACGUUGGAAAUUUAUUUUCAGUGUCGCAGGGAAACCGAUAAACACACCGCCUGGGGAGUACGACCGCAAGGUUAAAACUCAAAUGAAUUGACGGGGACCCGCACAAGUAGUGGAGCAUGUGGUUUAAUUCGAAGAUACGCGCAGAACCUUACCAACACUUGACAUGUUCGUCGCGACUCUAAGAGAUUAGAGUUUUCGGUUCGGCCGGACGAAGCACAGGUGCUGCAUGGCUGUCGUCAGCUCGUGUCGUGAGAUGUUGGGUUAAGUCCCGCAACGAGCGCAACCCUCACUUUUAGUUGCCAUCAUUAAGUUGGGCACUCUGAAAGAACUGCCAGUGAUAAGCUGGAGGAAGGUGGGAAUGACGUCAAGUCCUCAUGGCCCUUACGUGUUGGGCUACACACGUGCUACAAUGGUAUCUACAACAGGAAGCAAGACUGCGAAGUUAAGCAAAUCCCUAAAAGAUACCUCAGUUCGGAUUGCACUCUGCAACUCGAGUGCAUGAAGCUGGAAUUACUAGUAAUCGUGGAUCAGCGUGCCACGGUGAAUGCGUUCCCGGGUCU
rnacentral:rRNA from 1 species